GCUCUUAUGAAGUUAGCGGCGGACGGGUGAGUAACACGUGGGUAACCUGCCCAUAAGACUGGGAUAACUCCGGGAAACCGGGGCUAAUACCGGAUAACAUUUUGAACCGCAUGGUUCGAAAUUGAAAGGCGGCUUCGGCUGUCACUUAUGGAUGGACCCGCGUCGCAUUAGCUAGUUGGUGAGGUAACGGCUCACCAAGGCAACGAUGCGUAGCCGACCUGAGAGGGUGAUCGGCCACACUGGGACUGAGACACGGCCCAGACUCCUACGGGAGGCAGCAGUAGGGAAUCUUCCGCAAUGGACGAAAGUCUGACGGAGCAACGCCGCGUGAGUGAUGAAGGCUUUCGGGUCGUAAAACUCUGUUGUUAGGGAAGAACAAGUGCUAGUUGAAUAAGCUGGCACCUUGACGGUACCUAACCAGAAAGCCACGGCUAACUACGUGCCAGCAGCCGCGGUAAUACGUAGGUGGCAAGCGUUAUCCGGAAUUAUUGGGCGUAAAGCGCGCGCAGGUGGUUUCUU
rnacentral:rRNA from 4 species